rnacentral:rRNA from 1 species
CUAGCCCAAACCUAAUGAAUGAAGUUGUAUACGAGCCAUCAAAUUAGAACAUUUAAUUACCUAAUAAAGUAUAGGAGAUAGAAAUAUUAUUUGGAGCUAUAGAGAAAGUACCGCAAGGGAAUGAUGAAAGACAAUCUAAAGUACUAAAUAGCAAAGAUUAACCCUUAUACCUUUUGCAUAAUGAGCUAGUCAGCAUAACCUAACAAAGAGAACUUAAGCUAGGUACCCCGAAACCAGACGAGCUACCUAUAAACAAUUUAUAAGAAUAAACUCAUCUAUGUAGCAAAAUAGUGAGAAGAUUUAUAGGUAGAGGUGAAAAGCCUAACGAGCCUGGUGAUAGCUGGUUGCCCAGAACAGAAUUUUAGUUCAACUUUAAAUUUACCAGAAAAACACCCAAAAAUUCUAAUGUAAAUUUAAAAUAUAGUCUAAAAAGGUACAGCUUUUUAGACAAAGGAUACAGCCUUACCUAGAGAGUAAAAUAUAUAAUUA